GUGGUGCAGUCGGUAGCACUGUUGCCUUGCAGCAAAAAGGUCCUGGGUUCGAUUCCCAGC
rfam:Xiphophorus maculatus strain JP 163 A Contig991.4, whole genome shotgun sequence.